rnacentral:misc_RNA from 1 species
GCAAUUUCAGCAUUUGCUUUACAGCCUAGUGCAACUGAUGAUUUAGCUGCACUUCAGCAACUGUUGGAUGAUCAGCCUAACAUCCCCAAAGAGGAAGUUCAAGUCAUUUUUGAAAUCAUAUUUGCUGAAGAGAUAGCUUGAUGUCUACUAAGCAUGGAUCCUUGGACUGAUGAAGUGCUUUUGGAACUUGCAAUGUGUUUUAAGUUAAGGAAGACUUCAGUUCUGGCUAAAGAGCAGGAAAUAUCUUGCACUUGGGUGCUACAGUGCUCGAACUCUUCAAGUGUAUGUGUCGGAUUUUCCAAAAACCAGUGUAUUUUUAGAGGAUCCGCCAUGGGUGUGGCGACAUUUUUGGAGAAUCCAAGCAACACCGCUUUGGUGAAGCAGAGAAUUAUCUUGAUUGAUCACUGUAGAUGGAAGGUUUUGGACCUUGGAAAUGGAAGAGAUGACUUUAAGUGUUGUGUAUACUCAGUUUCAUUUAUUUAUAUGUCUGCAA